rnacentral:rRNA from 1 species
ACGAACGCUGGCGGCGUGCUUAACACAUGCAAGUCGAACGGAAAGGCCCUGCUUUUGUGGGGUGCUCGCGUGGCGAACGGGUGAGUAACACGUGAGUAACCUGCCCUUGACUUUGGGAUAACUUCAGGAAACUGGGUCUCAUACCGGAUAGGAGCUCCUGCUGCAUGGUGGGGGUUGGAAAGUUUCGGCGGUUGGGGAUGGACUCGCGGCUUAUCAGCUUGUUGGUGGGGUAGUGGCUUACCAAGGCUUUGACGGGUAGCCGGCCUGAGAGGGUGACCGGCCACAUUGGGACUGAGAUACGGCCCAGACUCCUACGGGAGGCAGCAGUGGGGAAUAUUGCACAAUGGGCGGAAGCCUGAUGCAGCAACGCCGCGUGCGGGAUGACGGCCUUCGGGUUGUAAACCGCUUUCGCCUGUGACGAAGCGUGAGUGACGGUAAUGGGUAAAGAAGCACCGGCUAACUACGUG